GAUGAACGCUGGCGGCGUGCCUAAUACAUGCAAGUCGAGCGAGCGGCGGACGGGUGAGUAAUGUCUGGGAAACUGCCUGAUGGCGGGGGAUCACUACUGGACACUGUAGCUAAUACCGCAUACCAUCAGCUGUGCCCUGAUGGGAUUCGCUUGUAGGUGGGGUAAUGGCUCACCUAGGCGACGAUCCCUAGCUGGUCUGAGAGGAUGACCAGCCACACUGGAACUGAGACACGGUCCAGACUCCUACGGGAGGCAGCAGUGGGGAAUAUUGCACAAUGGGCGCAAGCCUGAUGCAGCCAUGCCGCGUGUGUGAAGAAGGCCUUCGGGUUGUAAAGCACUUUCAGCGAGGAGGCGUUACUCGCAGAAGAAGCACCGGCUAACUCCGUGCCAGCAGCCGCGGUAAUUC
rnacentral:rRNA from 1 species